GACGGUAUAGCCAAGUGGAAAGGCUACAGGCUGCAACCCUGUGAGCGUGGGUUCGAAUCCCUCUACCGUCUCAA
rnacentral:tRNA from 1 species